rnacentral:tRNA from 1 species
GUUUUAAUAGUUUAAAAUAAAACGCUGGUCUUGUAAACCAGGAAUGAGAGGCUUCUCUUAAAACU